rnacentral:rRNA from 1 species
AACGAACGCUGGCGGCAGGCCUAACACAUGCAAGUCGAGCGCGCCCUUCGGGGUGAGCGGCGGACGGGUGAGUAACGCGUGGGAACGUGCCCUUUUCUACGGAAUAGCCUCGGGAAACUGAGAGUAAUACCGUAUACGCCCUUUGGGGGAAAGAUUUAUCGGAAAAGGAUCGGCCCGCGUUGGAUUAGGUAGUUGGUGGGGUAAUGGCCUACCAAGCCGACGAUCCAUAGCUGGUUUGAGAGGAUGAUCAGCCACACUGGGACUGAGACACGGCCUAGACUCCUACGGGAGGCAGCAGUGGGGAAUCUUAGACAAUGGGGGCAACCCUGAUCUAGCCAUGCCGCGUGAGUGAUGAAGGCCUUAGGGUUGUAAAGCUCUUUCAGCUGGGAAGAUAAUGACGGUACCAGCAGAAGAAGCCCCGGCUAACUCCGUG